rnacentral:rRNA from 1 species
ACGCUCGACACCUAGAGGCAGCAGUGAGGAAUAUUGGUCAAUGGGCGCUAGCCUGAACCAGCCAAGUAGCGUGAAGGAUGAAGGCUCUAUGGGUCGUAAACUUCUUUUAUAUAAGAAUAAAGUGCAGUAUGUAUACUGUUUUGUAUGUAUUAUAUGAAUAAGGAUCGGCUAACUCCGUGUCAGCAGCCGCGGUAAUCUGAGCGGGCUGGCAAGGC